GUGCAGGAUGCCUGAGAUUGUGUACACCUGUCAAAGCUUUGAAUGAGUGGGUGGAGGCUGGGGUCCUAUACUGGUAAACUUGUGUUGUGCUCAGAGAUGUGAGCAGCGAGAUGAGAUCUGAUGGAUGUUUUUACCUUUUGAGUUCUCCCGAUAUUUUAGUGGCUGGUUUCUCGUGAUGUCGUUGCUAUCACAAGGCUGUGACUGGGGGUACUCUUUAUAUUGCGUUUGAACUACCCAUAUUUUGCUUUGUUUUAGAAAAGCAGAUGUGCCUAAAAUGAGGAAGACUGGUACAGACAUGAUAAAAUGUAUAUUGCCCAAUGGUUUGGGUGUUUUUCAUCAGGGUUUUUUUUGUUUGUUUGUUGUUUUUUUUGUUUAGUAAUUUAGUCUUGAGAAUGCAGAAGGUUAGAUGCUGAGGAUUUUUUUGUUUUGUUUUUUCUGUUCAGAAAUGAAUAUCUUUUACAGAACUGACUUCAAGAGGUGCAUUUAACUGUACAGUCUAGUACCAACAUAGUGAAAUCGGUGGGAUACAGAAGUCUGUUAACUAUGUACGAAUUAGGCCUAUAUGUAUACACAUGUGUGAGAAACAAUUCUGGAUUUGAAAAUCUGUUGGUUAUAUGCGUUUUUUUCGCUAACACGGUGUUCACUAUGUGCGUGCUAGACUGUAUUGUGUAUAUAAUAUUUAUACAUAUAUAUAUAUAUAAUUGAUGUCUGGUUGUUCCAGUAUGUUCUCAGAACACAGGUCUUGUUGGGUGCUGGUGUGUAGGACAAUCCCAGUCCUGGGCCGGCCGUGGAGACGUCUGACGGUCAAACUUUGUCAGCGAGCUAGUCAAGUGUACUGAGCUCACAGAGCACAAUUGUGUCAGGAGAGAGAAAAAGCUGCUUCUUUCUUGAAGCGAAAGUGUUCUCUGGUGUUCUGUUGCCGUGUAGCUCCGUCCUGGAGCUGUAGAUGCCUGUCUGACGCGAGUCUAGUCCUCACUCUCAUGGAGAAGAAGUCUAUGCAGUUUUCUUUUUUUUUUACCGUAUUAUGUCAGAUCUGUUGCUACGUUUUGUAGCAAUUGUUUUUGGUUGUUCUCAUUUUGUACAUUGUACCUUGAUAUGAUGGAAUUUUCUGCCAUGACAAGUGUUUUGAUUGUUUAUGCUGAUGUUUCCUAUUUCCCGACUCUCGGGGCUCUACUAGAUGUACUGCUUUAUUUUACCCGUCUUUUUCACCGAGCUGCACAUUUUUGUCUGGGUUCUAUGCAGAAAUCUGCACUGGUACGGUAGUAGGUUUGUCGUUAUUUGCCACUUUGACCACUGUGCACAUCUGUCGUUGUCUUUCCUUGCUACGCUAACGACGUUCUUAAUUAUGCUUCUAUUUAUUUUAAUAUCUUUUUUUUUUAAUUCACAGAUCUGACAAGGGGGUUAAGUACACUUUGGUACAGUAUUUUUAAUUAUGGAAGAAUGACUUCUAAUUUUUCACCUAUAAAAAUGUUUGAACAAAGCGUUUUCUCCCAUUAAAACUGACUGCUUGCGCGUUUCCUAAUUUGGCGCCUUCCCCUCCCCCUGAUUUUCCACACAUGACUUACAGAGAGGAACAGGGACAGGCUUCUUUUGUUCACUUGUCUAUGAUAUGGGGGAAGAGAGGGGGAGGUUCGCAGACUUUCUACCAUAAUGGUCCUUCUGUUCACAUUCACACUGGAGCUCUUAUCGGCAGUUUUGUAGAAGACUGCGGCGUGAACCAUUUUGAAAAGUGACAUGUGACAGAAUCUUACACUGGCCGUUCAUUAUGUGGUGACUAGAUAAUGAGUUCAGAGAAGCCAAAGACGCUCGCAUCUUCACGGUCUUUGUCUCUGUGGAGAGCUUCAAAUCAGCAUUAAAUUCCAUUUCAGCGAGAGUACAUUUUUUUAAAUAUGCUUUUGUGUAAGGAAAGAAAGUGACGGCUUAAGGGAGUGACUGUUUCCAUUACAUGCUGACCAUUGUAGGAAACAUGGGAUUGGUGAUUUUUUUUUUUUUAAAUUGAGACAUUUUCAUCGAAGCAAUCUGUGUUUUACAGUAUUUUCCUUCAUGUGUGGGUAUGGCCUUGCAUGUUUUUAUUGAAGCCAAAACAAGAAUGUGUGGUUAGAACAUCUCUUCAUUUGUCGGGCUGAUAUGCAUUUAGUGUGUGUGUAUAUAUAUAUAUAGAGAGAGAGAGAGAGAGAGAGAGCUGUAGACAGGACUGUUCACUUCACCGUUGUCAUGUCAAUAAUUUUCUGGAGAGAUCCACACUCUCGUGUUUUGUUUACUUUGCCUGACUCUCAUGCAAAGCUCUCAACAACUGUUCCAUCUAGCUUUCACUAGUACUGGGGAUGUCGGAAAAAAAUCUAUGCAUUUUUCAUGUGCAUUCUACAGUCAGCACUGAUGACACAAACACAGAAAAUUGGAAAUCAGGGAUAGCUCUUACAAUAUGCCAUUCCCCAACUAGAUAUCUCUUUAAUGUUUCGUUAAACUGUUUACCAUACCCGAAAUAAUAGAUGUAUGGCAAACACUUUAGAUGUAUGUCAAACACGUAAUUUGCCAAUCCCCUACGUGUUUGAGUUGUCCGUGCUCGACUGUAUUUUUUAAAUUCUAGUGUAGCUGAUUGUUGAAUGUGUAGCCUCUGUUGGAUCUGUUACUUGGUAGCUUUUUUGUCUGAAGUGAAAAGAGCACCAGGAUCUGUGGUGUAGCGGUUAGGCACUUCGCCAUCGCACGCAGAAGACCCGAGUUUGAUUCCUGAGAGGAGAGAGUUUUUGUCUAGCAAAUUGGGUCUUUCUGUUGGGAUGCUGUGUGUCCCUCUCAGUUCUAGUUAGCCCUGACUGGUCAGGUCAAAGCCCGCUUCCUGAAUUAUCUAAAUUGUGUGGAUGGGGAUGUAAAACACCUACGGUACAUUAGAAAUGGAGAGCUUAUAUAAAAUUAUAUAAAUCUAUCCAGUUUCUUUUUGGGGCUUGUAGUUUUCAAAGAGAGAAAAUCACUGAACUACUACUUGUACAAGACAAGCUGUGGUAUAUAGGGGUUUCAAGGAGUUUGUAGUUGGCUUUGGGGUUUUACUCAGCAAGAAAGCGACUUCAGACUUUACUUUUGGGAGAGAAAAAAGGGUAUCGGGGAUAAUUGUUUGUAAACUCAAGCAUGGGGUAAUUUUCCGUAAUUUAUUCUAUAUUUAUAUAUAUAGAAUGAGCUCAACACGAAGUGCAGACACACAAUAGCUUUGGGGAGGUCGUAUGUUGUCAUAAGUCUUGCUUCUUUUUCUCUGUCUGUGGAGUUAGUUCUCAGACUUGGCAAAAGAUUCCUUUUCCCUUUUCCUCACAUAGACCUAGCUAGAUAUGUCUUUCUAUGUCCUGUUGUUCCGUCAGUGUGUAGAAGUUUUGCAAAGAUGUUCCUCACUCACUCUCAUUGUAGAAGUAGUGGUUAUUGUCGCCCAUCUCUCCAUCGAUCGGUGUGGUGUGUUUUAGCGCCAAGGAGACGGCUCGCCUCAGUCUCUCCAUCGAUCGGUGUGGUGUGUUUUAGCGCCAAGGAGACGGCUCGCCUCAGUCUCUCGGCCAUGACUGUAUGUUCUCUGUGUUUUCGCUGUGGUUUCUCAUGCAUAUUAUGAAUUAUUAUGUAAUGUGCUGUUUCAUGGUAACAGCUUUUUUUUUUUUGUAAAAUGUUUUACCUCGCGAUGAAAUAUCUUGUCAUGUAGAAAUAAAUUACAGAUAGCUACAGACGCA